AAAGGGACCAAAGACGUUGCAAUUGGACGAGGUUGGACAUGGGGGGGCGAAGCAGAAGAGUAGAGAUUAAAUUAAAGAACAGCAGGUGUGAAAAAACAAGAGACCGGCUGUGAAGAAGAAACGGAACCAGGUGGACCAGAUUGAAUGGAAGAUCAUUUCCGUAAACUGGCGAACAGCAGAGGCAUCGCGGGAGGAGCAAGGACACUGCAAGACACACGUGUUGUUGUGGAAUUUAGAAUACAAAAAAAAAGCUCUCUUGUUUUAGCGAGGGAUACCGGGAAUAUCUUGAUGUCAGUGAUAGCAGUAAUAAGAGUUGCAAGGGUACGGAUGUGGAGAAAUAUAGCAAAGGGGAAUGCUUUUGGGAAGGAUACAGUUUCUUCCCAUGUGUAAUUAAUACGUUACGCGGAGAAACGAGAAGGUAACGCUUUGGUUGCUACGAAAUCGGAUAACAAUUUUUUCCCAUGAUUUGUUGUUCGGAGACAGAUCCAUGUAUAAACGAUUAUACAUAAGGCUAAAUCCAAUUAUAAUAUUUUUCUCUCCUUCUUUGUUGCUUUGAACCUGGUCCACGUGUAGACGAAUCGUGCUUGAGGAGAAACGCGAGGCAAGUACAUUAUUCUCCUCUUUUAGUUCUGGGUUUUUUUAUGCGUUAUUUAGAACAUGCUCCAUACGAAUCACGAAUGAAAUAAAAUAAGAAAAAGAGCUGUUUCAGAUAUUUAUAUAUAACGAAUGCCUUAAAUGAUUAUGAUUUAGACCAGCUGAGUGAAAUUAGCUUGUUCAUAGUUACAGUAUCCCUCCUGAACAGGUAAGAACGUCCACUUAAUGUGGAUCUUACCAGCUUUCUGGUACUUGUAAAAUAAAGUAAAACAGGGGUGGAUGAAAUGUUAAACCUUAAUGAUGUUGAUAAAGAAAAGCAUUGGAAAUGACAUGACCACUUACCAAUUACAUUAGUUAAAUGGUAUGAGAAUGUGUGUGCGUUAAAUUUACAUUUUAACUGUAGAGCAUGAGUGAGCACCAUCUCUUGUGCAAAAUGCAAUGAUGCUUCGCGGACGCACGAUGGCGCGCCUCAUCUGGCAUGCUCACCUGCCGCAAGGUUAAAGGCUGGUUCCUCGUUUUGACUGCGUUCGUCAUAAACAAAUGACAGCAUAUGAAAUAAGUGUGAACAACCUGUUUUCAGGUGAAGGAAAUAAAGGAGACUGCUGGUGUCACCCACUGACCUUCAGGCUCCACCAAAAGAAGCAAGCAGGAUGGUUGAGGGGUUCUUGUGGCGAUCUCAGAUGGGAAUAUUGGACUGCAGUCUCGGAUUUCUGCAAUCCUCCAGUCACCAGCUGCUUCCGGCUGUAGUGGUCAUGUCCUGAGUCUAAUACCUGUGCGUCCUGGGUACGUGUCCCACAGUGAAAUAGAGAACUGCCUUCUCAUCUCCCACAGCCUGGUGCUGCCUCCCUGACACAUUCAUCCUGUGUCUCCAGCACUGAAACCUCAUGAGAGACAUUUUUAAACUACAUCAAGCUGUAGACAACUUGGCAAUGUGGAAAUACAAUAGGUGACUUGCACAGUGGCUAUAAUACAUGGAAAGCAACCUUCCUGAAAGCUACACUGCAAGGAGUUAAAUUAUGAUACAUUUUACUUUGUGCUGUGUGCAAGUGUAAAGCAACCUAUUACCAAUGCUAAUGUGUUUCUUCUUAUUUACAAAUUUAUUUUACCAUAAUGAAUGUAUUAAAUAUCAAGAUCUUGGGAUCUUGUUCAUUGUUCCGGAGGCAAAUUCUUAGGCCUGCAGUUGCACAAUUGGGGUUACUGUACAAUCCAGUUAAUCUCAUUCAUUAGUAUAAGUGUAACCAGCAUAACCAGAAUGAAAGUGAAUAAGAGUGUGUAAGUAUUUGUUCUGCUUACCAGUGAAGUAGACAUAUAUCUUUAUUGCACAUACAGUAUCCAGCAGUACAAUAUUACUACUGAACUACAUUGUGGGAGGUAUUAGAGUAACUGUUGGGAUAUGUUAAUUUAGACUUUACCAAAAGGCAUAUAAAACAGAAUAAAGGUGACUUGUUUUUGAUAGUUGCAGCAACUAAUUUCAAUCUACAAGGUUUUAAGAAUAGAAGUAAUCACAUUUAAUGGCAUGACUAAUACUCAACUUUUGUCACACAUGGAAGGCAAACACAAGAGCUGAAUAAAGCUGAAUUUGCACAGGACUGUGUCCUGCUCCUCUGAUGAAGAAUCUCCAAAAUCAAAGAAACUACCUCAUUUUAAGUAGUAUUAUUUUGUAUACUUUGCUUUUAUACUUGUCCUUUUUUGUGAAAGUAACAUAUUUGUACAGUAAGUCUAAAUCCGAGAGAUGAAUUCCUGAUUUUGAAUAUCCAUAGCCCUCCUUCUAAGGGGAAGUAUCGGAAGCACUCAUGCAAAAUGCUCUCGUUAAAGUGCCAAUAGAGACAAUAAACACAAUGUACUGGUUGCUAGGCAAUGUCUUAUGAGGUGAUUAACAAAAGCUAUUAUUUGCAUCACUUCUUUUCAUCUUCUGGUUCUCUGUAGACUAGAAAUGUGAGACAACUGUGCUCGACACAUCACACAUGUGUGAACAUGGAACACAGUGAUCAAAGUUGCUCCAAAUUUCUGCUUUCUUGAUCUCUAUCUAUCGCUGUGGUGGCGAUCUGUGUGAUUAUGGAGACAAAGAAAAACGUAAGGAGAAAAUUCAGCCGUAAGGGAGCUCAAAUAAUUUCCACAUGCAAUAAGGCCUUCAUGACACCCACACCCUUCCUAAAUUCCUCUUCCAUUCGAAGGCCCAGUCACUGGUGUCCCAAUGUGCACCAGUCUGACUGCCUACAGUACAAGCACCACUUGGAAAGGGAAACACAUACUGUGGGUGAAGGUUGUGUUUUGCUGUGUCAUAUGAUAAGAUCAAAUGCCAUACAGUGCUUUCAAUGCAUUCUGUUUUACGCGACUGUAGCAGCCGUGGGAAAGCUACAUGUGGUUCUGUGUGUAUAUUUAUAAAUGAGGACUGCAUAAGACCUGCAUUUAAAAAAAUAAAAAUGCUUAAAAUAAGGAGAAAAAAAUAGAGCAGCUGGGAAACAGCAAAGAAAUUACUGUACAGUAUUUAUAACCUGUUCACAGACUUCAUGUAAUAUUUGCUUAAUGUCUUUCAGUCUCCACUUAAAAGCGUUCUUUGUUUCUUAAACCUAUGAUAUCAGUACAUUUUGAUGCUGUUGCCAGCAGUGAUCAC